UCGUCCCACUCGUGAUCGUCUUCUCAACCUUCACGUGCGGGCGGAAUGAGGAAGAACCCCCGCGAUGACGUGAAUCGCGGGGGUUCUUC
rnacentral:ncRNA from 1 species